rnacentral:lncRNA from 1 species
AUGGGUCCUCCUAUGUUCGUGAUGGGAGAGACAUUCUCAGGGGCAGCGGUUGUUGACAAUGACAAAAUGCUUUGGCAUGUGUCGUUGCCAAGUCAUGUCAGCAUCCAGGGAGCCACGCUUAAGGCUAUGCUCAUGGCCCUGGAAUUAGCUAGGGGGAAAAAAGCUAAUAUAUUUCUGGAUUCACACUACGCUUUCUCCACUGUGCAUUGGUCAUCAUACAUAUGGCAAAACAAAGGUUAUAAAACUUCAGCUGGGAAACCAAUUGCAUAUGGCAAUCUUAUACAACAUAGGAUUGAAGAACUAAGGAAACUGGGUUUGCUUGUGCAAAGAAUACCACUAGAUUUUUCAUUGCCCAAGAUAAAACCAGGUGAUAAAGUUUAUGUCAAGAACUUUAAUAGAGAAUCUCCUACAAAACCAAGAUGGAUUGGACCUACUAUGGUCAUAAUGACAACCCCAAUAGCUAUAAAAGUUGAUCAAAGAGAUCCAUGGUUCCAUGCUUCACAUGUGAAAUUGCAUCACACCCAUAAUAUUGAGUAGCCCUAGGAAAAUAAUUGAUAAGCAAAUGCAGUCCCUACCAGAAACACAGGAAAGCACAUGAAUACUUGCCACCAGAAUAGAGUAGAGAGACCCCUGCACAAGUUAAAAUAAUGAAAGGAUAGAACCCUGAAAAUAUACAGACAGUAACACAGUAAUAUGAAAGUAAAACCUUGCAUGAGAAAGAUUAGCAGCCACAAAGCCUCAAUAUAAGAUAUAAAAUCUCUGCCUGACAUAGUAACAAAACGAAAAGAACUAUCUCCAAAUUCUACAUAUAGUAACCAUCCUAGAACUACAUGCAGUAACCAUAUGAUAAACCUCCUUGAAAGAAAAAAAAAUUGAUGUCAUUAUUCUUACCAAAGACUUGAAAACCUAUGCAUAACGCUUACCCCCCUGCAUGUGGAAAAACACAAGUUGACCUAACUUGUAAACACGAAGAUGUACAAAUGCAAAAAGCUUACCCCCAUUCAUGAAGAAAAUCAUGUUAUCUUACUUGCACACACAAAAAAUUGAUACAUUCAGUUACUCAAAAAUUUCAUCUCACUUCCAUGCAAAAGUAACUUUUCACAUUUACUUGCACACAUAUGUAAAAAACUAACUUGCACACAUGUUCGUGGUUUGUUUGUGUGUUCCCAGGUUCCUGAUUAUUGCAGUGGAUCCUGACUUGAAGAACACAAGUCUUCAAUCAAGUGAUGGAAGACAGAAGAGUGAUAUGUUGAGCAGAAAGGAUGGAAGAGUUUCUACAGGCAACAUGAAUGGACAUGGAAGGACUUUGGAACUUUGAAAUUUUGGCCAUGAAUAAGUGUAAGACUGUGUCAUACAUGUAAACACCACAUGUAUGCAUGUACAUCCUACAUAGCAAAAUAAGAUAUCCAUGGAGUGGGUAAUUACAUGACAUACAUGAUAACAAAGACACACUGAUGAGAAAUUUCUGUGGGAAAUUCAAACAGAAAGUGAUAUCCUUUUCUGCAUGAGUUUGCACAGAAAUUUAGAAUGAUGUAUAUAUUUAAAUCUGUACUAAACUUACUAAUUGACUAACGAGCUAACUUUUCAGAGUAAGUUUAUUAAUAGUCUAACUACUAACAUUAGUAAUAGCCUAUUGAAUUUGUUUAAGGCUUAAGAAAGUAGAGACAUAGAAGUUCUGAAGCAUGGAAGUUAUAUUGUAUUAUGAUUGUAGGUUAGCAUUUAUUAGUGAUAGGAAAUUUUACUUAGUGAAUUUAUAGACAUUAGGAAUUAGAAUAUUUGCAUAUUCUUAAUGAUAGGGGAAUUGUUGAGAUGAUUUGGAAAUUGUUAUUUGCUUUGUUAUGUGAAACUAUGUUCAUGUAACCAUUUUCCUAUAACCCAUUCUUAGCUUAGCAUUUAGAUAGAACAGCUAAGAUGAGUUUAGCAUUUUGUAAUGGGGGGGGUAGAGUAUAUUUCAGAUAGCAAAGAGUUAAGAUAGAUAGAUAAAAUUAUUAAGGUAAGUAUCAUUGAAAAAUGAAAGUUACAUUUUUUGCUAAUAAAAGGGGGGAUUUGCGGUAGAGACA